GCAUCGGUGGUUUAGUGGUAAAAUUAGCCGUUGCCAUCCACGAUCCAGCUCUUCCAAGUUGUGUCUGAUAGUUUCGGCUAGCCCCGGGUUCGAUUCCCGGCCGAUGCA